GGUGUCCUGACGUUUUGCUUGUACCGUUUCUGCGUAACGAUAUAAAGACCAACAGCGGAAGGUUUUCUGCGGGGUGCAAUGUUUGUCAUAACACCGGCCCUGACGGUUUUCCCAUCCCAUCCUUUCCAGAGCCGUUAAAGUUGGAUUUCUACUUUUCCCCGCCGGAAAGUCCAAACAAACUGUCUUUAAAGUUACUUUAAUCGACUCGUCAGAGACCCGCCCGGUCCACCGAGUCCGGUUCCCGGGCUCUGGGGCUCACUCACCGGCCCUGGUGGUGUCCGUCAAGUCGUGGUUUGCGGCGCUCCGGGGGAACUCCUUCAGCUUCCUGCCGCUGAUGUUCAGGCACCCGGUGGCCGAGGCUUCGUCCAGCGCCCGGUCCAGAGAACGGUUCCAGGACGCCGGACCAGCCGGACCCAGUCCGUUAUUAUUCCCGACUAAAACACUCCCGGUGCCACCGCCGCUGCUGCCGCCUCCCGCCGCGAAAUUGAGUCCGGUGUUGUCCGCAGACCCCAACAACACCGAGGCCGCCAUUACACACUCCGGCUGGUUAGCUCACAGUGCUAACGGCUAAUCUCCCACCCUAAACUCAGAAGCGGAGCAUGCGCAGAGCGGAGCUGCGGGAGACGCGGACUGGACAACAGAUUUUUAUUUUAUUAACAUUAAUAUUAUUUUAUUAUUAAUACACAACACUGAUACCACAUGUCAACAUAAUGAAUAAAAACAUAGAAACAUGUA